rnacentral:rRNA from 1 species
AGGGGAAAUGGAAGAAAAACAGAACCUAAUGCAGUCGACGAGAGACCUUCGGGUCUCUAGUGGCGAACGGGUGAGUAACACGUAGGGAACCUGCCCGCGCACCGGGAAUACGCUCUGGAAACGGAGAACAAAUCCCGAUGUACAGGAAGGAGGCAUCUUCUUUCUGUGAAACAUCCUUUCGGGGAUGGGGCGCGGAUGGACCUGCGGUGCAUUAGUUUGUUGGCGGGGUAAAGGCCCACCAAGACGAUGAUGCAUAGCCGGCCUGAGAGGGCGGACGGCCACAUUGGGACUGAGACACGGCCCAGACUCCUGCGGGAGGCAGCAGUAGGGAAUUUUCGUCAAUGGGCGCAAGCCCGAACGAGCGAUGCCGCGUGAGUGAAGAAGGCCUUCGGGUCGUAAAGCUCUGUUGCGGGGGAAGAAAGGCAGCAUCAGGAAAUGGGUGCUGACUGAUGGUGCCCCGCCAGAAAGUCACGGCUAACUACGUGCCAGCAGCCGCGGUAAUACGUAGGUGGCGAGCGUUAUCCGGAAUGAUUGGGCGUAAAGGGUGCGCAGGCGGUCCUGCAAGUCUGGAGUGAAACGCAUGAGCUCAACUCAUGCAUGGCUUUGGAAACUGGAGGACUGGAGAGCAGGAGAGGGCGGUGGAACUCCAUGUGUAGCGGUAAAAUGCGUAGAUAUAUGGAAGAACACCAGUGGCGAAGGCGGCCGCCUGGCCUGUUGCUGACGCUGAGGCACGAAAGCGUGGGGAGCANA